rfam:Gregarina niphandrodes unplaced genomic scaffold scaffold00264, whole genome shotgun sequence.
GCGGUCGUGGUCUAGUGCUAUGACAUCUGCUUAACGCGCAGAAUAUCCCGGGUUCGAUCCUCGGCGACCGUU